GUGUGUUCGACGCCCAGAGCCAGAGAAGAAAGGGGAAACCUUUCUAACCACAAAAUCCAGCCAAUUGAAGCCCCAAUCGUGACUAAAUCUCAUGCAUGUCAAUGAUUUCUUGAUCAUCUAGGCCUAUUAAAGCUUAAGGAUGAAUAACAUAUCUACGAACUCAAGCACGGAGGCUAACGGGUCGAAAGUAAACAUGGAACCUAUGCUUGAACUGGGUCGCUCAAGGUGGUACGUGUCACGGAGGAUCAGCAAGGAAUAUAGAUCAAGGAUCGAGUCACUCGAGGGAUUGUACGGGGCUGUCUGAGGAUGUAAUUUAUUGUACAUAAGCUAUCAAUCAUUUUAUAAUUGAGUCAAUUCAUUGUAUUUAGUAUAAAAGAGUUAUUUUAAAAAGCGAACCUUCAAGUAGUAAGCAUGGUUUAUAAUGUAAGAAAUUUUAUGGCAAGGACUUC